rnacentral:rRNA from 1 species
GACGAACGCUGGCGGCGUGCUUAACACAUGCAAGUCGAACGGAGUGGCGAACGGGUGCGUAACACGUGGGUGAUCUGCCUUGACCUACGGGAAAAGCUGGGGAAACUGGGUCUAAUACCGGAUAGUGCAAGAUGAGCUCGCGGCCUAUCAGCUUGUGGGUGGGGUAAUGGCCUACCAAGGCGUCGACGGGUAGCCGGCCUGAGAGGGUGUACGGGCACAAUGGGACUGAGGUACGGCCCAGUGUCCUACGGGAGGCAGCAGUGGGGAAUAUUGCACAAUGGGCGGAAGCCGGAUGCAGCGACGCCGCGUGGGGGAUGAAGGCCUUCGGGUUGUAAACUCCUUUCGACAGGGACGCGGUACCUGUAUAAGAAGCACCGGCUAACUACGUGCCAGCAGCGGCGGUAAUAC